UCUUCUGAACGGGACCCCGGAGCAGAAGAAGAAGCUGAUCAGAGAGUAUCUGACGGGGGAGAGCGAGUCCUCCAGCGGAGAUGAGUUUGAGAAGGAGAUGGAGGCAGAGCUCAGCAGCACCAUGAAGGGCCUGGAGUGCAGCUGGACGGCAUCUUCAGCUCAAGGUCAAGCAUCUGGGACCAGUGACAGCACUUCCACAGCAGACAAG